CUGUUUGGGGCCUUUGUGGUCCCUUGCACGACCCUCACCCUUGCAUUUUCAGUUGCUUUCCGUUUCCUCGGCGGCUUUGGUCGCCAUAAGAGGACCCCAAAUAAACCUUUUUGCAAUCUUGGUACAAGUCUCAGAAGAAAACAAACCUAUA
rnacentral:misc_RNA from 1 species